GGGGAAUCUUCCGCAAUGGACGAAAGUCUGACGGAGCAACGCCGCGUGAGUGAUGACGGCCUUCGGGUUGUAAAGCUCUGUUAAUCGGGACGAAUGGUUCUUGUGCGAAUAGUGCGAGGAUUUGAUGGUACCGGAAUAGAAAGCCACGGCUAACUACGUGCCAGCAGCCGCGGUAAUACGUAGGUGGCAAGCGUUGUCCGGAAUUAUUGGGCGUAAAGCGCGCGCAGGCGGAUUGGUCAGUCUGUCUUAAAAGUUCGGGGCUUAACCCCGUGAUGGGAUGGAAACUGCCAAUCUAGAGUAUCGGAGAGGAAAGUGGAAUUCCUAGUGUAGCGGUGAAAUGCGUAGAUAUUAGGAAGAACACCAGUGGCGAAGGCGACUUUCUGGACGAAAACUGACGCUGAGGCGCGAAAGCCAGGGGAGCGAACGGGAUUAGAUACCCCGGUAGUCCUGGCCGUAAACGAUGGGUACUAGGUGUAGGAGGUAUCGACCCCUUCUGUGCCGGAGUUAUCGCAAUAAGUACCCCGCCUGGGGAGUACGACCGCAAGGUUG
rnacentral:rRNA from 1 species